UCGUAAUGGUUAUUCCGUCUUUCUUCCUCUCUCUUUCUCUCCCCUUCAUUUUUCCGUUUGUCAAUGAAGUUUCCCAACGAUUUGGUCAUUUAUCCCCGGUGGCACCAGUGAAGUUUCCCAGCAAUUUGUUGAAGGAUCCAUAGUCGCAACCUCUACAACAGAAGGCCAUUGCUGAACUGGAACAUGUGUCCAUACGUUCUGGUCUCUCUGGAAAAUGAACCCUACUGAUGCAUGCCUGACAUAACAGGAGGCUGAGAGGAAGCAAGGUCAAACGGUGGGUAUAUUGUUGGUAGAUUAGUGGACCGUAAUGGGUGGAAAGGGAUAACCGUGAAGAAAGCAAAGGAGCAAGGAAUCCAGACAGAAAAGUUCCUGAUUGGGGAGUUACUUGAAGAUGUCAAGUUCCCAGGUCCUAACUAUGAACCAAGUGAUAGAGAUACUCCUCAAUUUUAAGGAACAAAGGAUUGGAAAGUGUCUUUUUUUCAAGUGAUUCCUCAAAGGAAAAGAACUGAUGCUCAUUUAGAAGGAUAUCAGAAAGUAGUAGGAGAAGAAAAGGAAGAGAAAGAUGAUCAAUUGGAUUUAAAAAAGAAGUGUAUUGAAGUCACUUCCUAGUUCUUAACUUGAAAAUUUGAAUUUGUUAUAUGUAUAUUUCCUCAGGAAGAAGUGGAUUUGUAAAAGCAAAAAUUCAAGCUGAGGUUAUAAAAAAAAAAAGAAGAAGAACUGAUAUUUGAGAUGAGUCACGCGAUGAAGAACACGGUUAUCUAUUUGAAUAUUUUCAAAGUAACCAAACAGAACAUUAACAAAAUCUAGUUCAUCCUUGAGUUUUCUCCAAAACCGAACAUACACUUGUGUACUUACAAAAAGUCACAGAGAGAGAGAGAGAGAGAGAAGGGGGGAGGGAGGGAGGGAGAGAACCAUCCGGCAAGAAGAAUCGAAGAGAAGGGAGGCCAUAGGGUUAAAGGAAUAAUUCAGAGGUAACUUUUUGGUAGAAAUUCAGCAUGGUUUUGCUUUGGCAUAUGGAGGGAGGUCUAGAACUUGGAGAGUGAUGGGAAUAGCUUUGGACUGAUAUCGAGGCCUGCGGGAGCACCGCGGGGGAAUUGUUGCCCCCAUGGAAAAUGAAACGAAGAGCUGAUGAGGCAGAGAAUGUUCCAAUUUCUCUAGAUUUGGAUAGCGUAUGGUGUAAAAGGGAUGAGACCCCGCGGCAAAUUCGUACAAAUCCUCCCUCCCCUCAAUGUUCUUCUGCCACUUGUGGAUGGAGCAAAACCACUGUAUCUAUGGCUGUCAAAUCCAAGCUGAUGUUGACAUCCCUUGCAGAACAGAACCAAUGGGCACACCUGUUUAGUGAAUCCCUUUCCCAAACCAUGAGCAAUACUUCUCACUGCUAUAUUUGCAUGUUUACUCGAUGCUCUAAUGAAGUAUAAAGGAUACUUGGAUUGUUUGCACUGGGCCAGAGCAUGAUUGCAGAGCGGAUUCUAUGCUAGUGGUUUUGCUAACAAUUACCAACUUUCCAAAUGGAUUUAUUUUUUAUGGGCCGCACAGGCGAGUGGGGAAGUACUUCAAGAAAUGAAGCAAAAUAAAGAGUUAGCAAGAGAAGAAUCAGCAGAAAAAGGCCAAAGUUUGUGCAUUGUGGAUGCAAGAGAAGCAAGAACCUUGGAUAUAUUUUGGUCCCUCAAGCCUUGCACGCUAUAGCGCAUUGUUUUGUGUAACUAUAGCGCAUUCGAGUAAAAGUUUAAAAUUAUUUUUUCUUGUCAUUCUUUUGUGUAACUAUAACGCAUUGUUUUUGUUUUAUUUUUGAUAUCAUCUUUGUUUUUACUCUCAUCUCCUCGAUUAAUUUGUUGUUGACA